AUUGAACGCUGGCGGCAGGCCUAACACAUGCAAGUCGAACGAGUGGCGGACGGGUGAGUAAUGUCUGGGAACCUGCCCGAUGGAGGGGGAUAACUACUGGAAACGGUAGCUAAUACCGCAUACCAUCGGAUGUGCCCAGAUGGGAUUAGCUAGUCGGUGGGGUAAUGGCUCACCUCGGCGACGAUCCCUAGCUGGUCUGAGAGGAUGACCGGCCACACUGGAACUGAGACACGGCCCAGACUCCUACGGGAGGCAGCAGUGGGGAAGAGUGCACAAUGGGCGAAAGCCUGAUUCAGCCAUGCCGCGUGUAUGAAGAAGGCCUUCGGGUUGUAAAGUACUUUUGGCGAGGAGGCGUUACUCGCAGAAUAAGCACCGGCUAACUCCGUGCCAGCAGCCGCGGUAAUAC
rnacentral:rRNA from 1 species